CUGAAGAUGAAAGGGGGCCUUUGAGACUGCAUUCGUGCGUGCUCGGGUCACCGGCUCUUCCAUCCACACACACCUUUGUGCACCUCGGGGAGAUGAUUGUCUCCCCACAUCACAUAAACACCUAGUUUACAUGCAUGUUUUCAUAUACUCUAUGGAGUUAAUGUA
rnacentral:misc_RNA from 1 species